ACACAAGAACGAGAUCGAACAACGCCAUUCCGCCAUUUCUUCGCACGACUACCAGUGAACGUCCAACAAUUACGAGCUCCAGAAAUAUUCCUUUAUUUCAGCGGAUACCGACCAAAACUAAAGUGUUAGGCGAAUUAACAUUGAUUUUGAGAGUGAGGACGAGGAAAGACAGUCGAGGAAAAACCUUCCUAAACCACCAGCUCCCCCUAAACCACCUGCGGUGCCCAUCAUCAGAAGUCACCAAGCGACAUCAUCUACCACCAGCAGCCACUUUCAUAACACAUCAAACAGUUACCAUCGCCACCCGCCACCCAUCUGCACCUACUGGGCAUAUCAUUCAUCCAUUCGCUACGCCCACCAACUCCAUCCAAAGUGAAACGGGAUCUGGAACGAGAACUCCUCUAUCAGAAUACAACUUUCAGCUUAAAGUUUUUAGGGCCAUAGAGGAGGUCAAGGUUAUAGCCCUGAACAAUGCCAAGAUGCUGCAAG